AACCAAGCAGCCAUUCCUCUGUUUGGGAAGCGUGGAAGUAUCACCAUUAUCUCUAAUCAGGAAAGGCAACUAUAUAUAACACAAUUUAUACAUAGAGAAAUCAAGAAGGAAAACAAAGAGAUUUUAGCUUCCAACAGAGAAGUCUAAAUGGAUAUUUAGGUAAUUUUGACUGCUUAUUUCAAACUGCUUUUCGAAGAAGAAGAAGAAGA
rnacentral:lncRNA from 1 species